rnacentral:rRNA from 1 species
CAGCCGUAAACAAUGUGCGUUAGGUGUGUCGGUAACCACGCGUUACCGAUGCGCCGAAGAGAAAUCGUGAAACGCACCACCUGGGAAGUACGGUCGCAAGGCUGAAACUUAAAGGAAUUGGCGGGGGGAGCACCACAACAGGUGGAGCCUGCGGUUUAAUUGGAUUCAACGCCGGACAUCUCACCGGAUAAGACAGCUGAAUGAUUGUCAAUCUGAAGGUUUUACAUGACUAGCUGAGAGGAGGUGCAUGGCGUCAGUGACU